CCCCUAGAUGUUCUGGGCCGCACGCGCGCUACACUGAACAGUUCAACAAGUCUUAACCUUGGCCGAUAGGUCUGGGUAAUCUUUGAACGCUGUUCGUGAUUGGGAUAGACCUUUGCAAUUAUGGGUCUUCAACGAGGAAUUCCUAGUAAACGCAAGUCAUCAGCUUGCAUUGAUUACGUCCCUGCCCUUUGUACUCACCGCCCGUCGCACCUACCGAUUGAAUGGUCCGGUGAAAUCUCGGGACGGCGGCUUGGUCGCUUGCGUCCGACUGCUGAAACUUGAUUAAACCAUAUCAUUUAGAGGAAGGUGAAGUCGUAACA
rnacentral:rRNA from 1 species